rnacentral:rRNA from 1 species
UACGUAGGGUGCGAGCGUUAAUCGGAAUUACUGGGCGUAAAGCGUGCGCAGGCGGUUCGUUAUGUCCGUUGUGAAAGCCCCGGGCUCAACCUGGGAAUGGCAAUGGAAACUGGCGGGCUAGAGUGUGGCAGAGGGGGGUGGAAUUCCCGGUGUAGCAGUGAAAUGCGUAGAUAUCGGGAGGAAUACCGAUGGCGAAGGCAGGUCUCUGGGCUAUAACUGACGCUCAUGCACGAAAGCGUGGGGAGCAAACAGG